rnacentral:rRNA from 1 species
CCUACGGGUGGCAGCAGUGGGGGAUAUUGCACAAUGGGGGGAACCCUGAUGCAGCGACGCCGCGUGGGUGAAGAAGCGCCUCGGCGCGUAAAGCUCUGUCAGCAGGGAAGAAAAUGACGGUAUCUGAAGAAGAAGCCCCGUCUAACUUCGUGCCAGCAGCCGCGGUAAUACGUAGGGGGCAAGCGUUAUCCGGAUUUACUGGGUGUAAAGGGGGCGCAGACGGCGAUUCAAGUCAGGAGUGAAAGCUCGGGGCCCAACCGCAGGACUGCACUUGGUACUGCGUGGCUGGAGUGCAGGAGGGGCAGGCGGAAUUCGUGGUGUAGCGGUGAAAUGCGGAGAUAUCAGGAGGAACACCGGUGGCGAAGGCGGCCUGCUGGACUGCAACUGACGUUGAGGCCCGAAAGUGUGGGGAGCAAACAGGAUUAGAUACCCCGGUAGUC